AUAUCUCUCUGUACGGGAAGGAUGAGAAGCUUCGACCAAGGUUCGAUUCGAGCGCAGCGAGAAAGCGUUGCCGCAGGCAACGACCCGAAGGGCGAAGCGCGC
rnacentral:sRNA from 2 species